rnacentral:rRNA from 1 species
UACGAAGGGGGCUAGCGUUGCUCGGAUUGACUGGGCGUAAAGGGCGCGUAGGCGGUUUGCACAGUCAGACGUGAAAUUCCUGGGCUCAACCUGGGGGCUGCGUUUGAUACGUGUAGACUUGAGUGCGGAAGAGGGUCGUGGAAUUCCCAGUGUAGAGGUGAAAUUCGUAGAUAUUGGGAAGAACACCCGUGGCGAAGGCGGCCAACUGGGCCGACCCUGACGCUGAGGCGCGAAGGCGUGGGGAGCGAACGG